AUAUUGGUCAAUGGGCGCAAGCCUGAACCAGCGACGCCGCGUGGGUGAAGAAGGCCUUCGGAUCGUAAAGCCCUUUUCCCACUGAAGAGGAAGGACGGUAGGAGGGGAAGAAGUCUCGGCUCACUACGUGCCAGCAGCCGCGGUAAAACGCAGGAGACAAGCGUUAUCCGGAGUUACUGGGCGUAAAGGGCGUGCAGGUGGCGUCUUAAGUCUGUUGUGAAAGCGCCUGGCUUAACCGGGCGAGGCCAAUGGAGACUGAGAGGCUGGAGGACGGCGGAGGGGUGUGGAAUUCCGGGUGUAGUGGUGAAAUGCGUAGAGAUUCGGAGGAACACCAGAGGCGAAGGCGGCACUCUAAGCCGUACUUGACACUGAGGCGCGACAGCACGGGGAGCAAACG
rnacentral:rRNA from 1 species